AACCAUCUUCUUCUUCUUCUUUUUUCUUUUUUUUUUUUUUUAGUUUCAAGUUACAUUUCAUAAGCUUGUUUUCUACCAUUUUUUUUCUCUUGGCAUUUAGCAUUUUGUAGUUUCAAGUUACAAACACUACAAGAAUUUUAGGCUUUAAUAUCGAUUGGAAAAAGUAAAACCGGAUGUAUAAUGUCGAUUUUAAACAAAAAAAAGAUCUUUAAUGUCGGUUUUAAACCGAAAUUAAAGGUCUAAUUUAUUUUUUCCUUACUUUAUUAAAAAAUUCCUUUCAUUUUCAACACUCUCGCGCCUAUCUCUCCUACCCAAACCCUUUCAUUUCUCUCUUACCCAAACCCUAUCUCUCCUUGGCCGUGCGAAUCAGGGUGUCUGUCGUCCGUCCGUGGUUGUCCCUUGUCCGUCUGUCAGUCUCCAUCACGUUGGAUCUCUCCUUGGUCGUGGGUCUCUGUCAAUCUUCAACAAUAGAUUUGUAGCUGUGGGCUUUGCCGUGGGUCUGUAGAUCUGUAGAAAUCAACUCUAGUUUUGUGGGUUUUUACAACAUCACUGUUAAGGCUACUACUUUAGACUCCUUGUGUUCUAGAUUUUGUUUACGCUGUUAUUCCUCUCGGAAACUCCGAAAGGCCACUUCUCCUUCACCAAGUUAGAUUAUGAACCUCCCAUGGAAUCAACGAUGGGUGACUUCUUUGUCAUUCGAAAGGUGGAUAUUAUUGGAGUAUAUAGAAGUUUUGGUGAUUGUUAGACACAACUUAGAUCUUGAGUAUUCAUUUCUUUAGAUUUCAAUAGUGAUUUUUGCCAAUAUUAUCAUCAUUAAUGUAUUUGUUGUUCAGCUACUGGCUUAUAUUGAUCGAUUAUUUUCUUGCUUUCUCUGCAAACUUACUGACUAGUCUACUUUGGUGCUUUCAGCUUUCUUGCAUCAAGUUACAUUAGGCUUUUAUUUUGAUUAUAUUUAAUUGUUUUUGAAGCAUUAGGCUUUUAGUCUGCUUUUUUUUUUUACAAUAUUUUUUGUCUUGUUUAUAUAAGAAAAUGGUAGAAGACAAAUAAUAACUCUGCUUUUUUAGAAUUAUUCAAACAUCCCAUUGAUUAAUAUUUUCACAUAUAGUUAUCCCAGUUUGGUCAUUAUUGAAGAUUCAAUUGGCAUUUUUCCAUUUUAGAUUUAAUUGAACCAGAUUCAAUUUCUUCAUUUUCUCAAAGUAUUUUAGUUGUACAACUGCUAUAAUAGUUUGACAUUUUUCCAUUGGAUCUCUAAAUUAACAAUUGUAGAUAUAGUCUCUUCAAUUCCCUAUUUGUGAAUUAUUGAUAAAUACCAUCAUGAUAUAUAAAUCUGUGAAAAAACAAGGUAUUUUUCUUCUUUAGAAAGGUUCUGGAUUCUUAUAUGCAGGUUCAUGACAACAGAUUAUCCUCAAGCCCUCCAUUAUUGGGCAAACAUCACAUGAUAGUAUAAAAGCAAAGAGAAGAUCAGGUGUGUUGGCCGUUGAAGUUGGUUGUGCCGAGGGUGGUUCCUAGGUUUUCUUGAUUGACGUUGGUCAUUGUUUGCUCUGAUACCAAGACAAAACCGGAAGCUGAAGAGGAUGGCAAACUCACGCUGGAAGCCGAAGCGUUCGCAGUCGGUUGAUGAAGAAUUCGAAGGGACGGUAGAUGAUAGUAUACACCAACUUAGCUUUUCUAUUUUUCUUAUUAUAUUAAAUAUACAUAGUUGUUGCUUUUAUACAAUUGGAAUCCCUAAUUUGGGAAUUCAGAAAUAAUUCAAUAACAGAAUGGCUAUACAUGUGUUGUGACCUGAUUGGUCCUUUUGUAACUAAACUAUUCUUUUGUUAAAUGGUAAGACUGUAAUUAUGAAGACUUU